rnacentral:lncRNA from 1 species
GUUCAGCUUGUCUGUUUUUUUUUAAACUGGCUCUGCAGUGCUGAGUGAUGUUUAUCUCUGCUUAGGCCCAGCGCUGCGACACAGACGCACAAAAGACUUCCCAGCAGCCUUUGAGGGAGCAACUGUGGGCUUGACAGGUUCAUCGGAGCUGAAUAGAGACUGAAAGAUUGGUCUUCUCUAUAAGAGAAUGCUCUGACGAACCCAGGCAGACAAAAAGCAAGACCCAGAGCCAGAAUUCUUUCUUUGGUGAACAUUCUCAAAAAGGUAGGUGUAUCCUUAUUAUCUAUGCAAACCAA